rnacentral:rRNA from 1 species
CAAUAGCGUAUAUUAAAGUUGUUGCGGUAAAAAGCUCGUAGUUGGAUUUCUGUUGAGAGCGACCGGUCCAUACCAUGUAUGCGUAUCUGGCUUGCUCUCGGCAUCCUCUCGAUAGACGUUACUGCGCUUGAUUGCGUGGUGCGGAUCUCGGGACUUUUACUUUGAGGAAAUUAGAGUGUUCACGGCAGGCUUUCGCCAGAAUACAUUAGCAUGGAAUAAUACUAUAGGAUCUUGGUUCUAUUUUGUUGGUUUCUAGAAUUGAGAUAAUGAUUAAUAGGGACAAUUGGGGGCAUUCGUAUCAACACGUCAGAGGUGGAAUUCUUGGAUUGUGUUGCGACGAACUACUGCGAAAGCAUUUGCCAAGGAUGUUUUCAUUGA